GGCACAGUGGCAGAGUGGUUAAUGCGUUUGACUUGAACGGUGCCGCCUGUCCAUUUAUGGAUACUGUCACCUAAUAGACAUCAAAUCUCUUCGGAGGCCUAGGUUCGAAUCCUGGCUGUGUCG